GGGGACCAUAGAGAGAAGGGAGUGAUAGGCCUGCAUCUGUGAAAGGGAGGUUCUAAACAUGUGAUUGGAAGAAUACAUUCUACACACAUUGGUCUGUUCAUCUGAACCUGUUUUCCAAGACCAAUGGUUGCCAGGUACAUGAUGUGCUCGGUGGAAAAAGGAGAGGGAUUGCAAGUGGAUUCAAUGGAAUUGCAGCUGCCGGAUUGUCUGUGGUAUGAUUCUUGGCUCCCAAGGUUAACCUCAGUAUUCUCUAGCAAUUAUCUGAAACAAAGUUGACAUCCUGGCAAGGCUCCACUCCUGGAAGCAUCAAAGGCCUUGAUGUGACAGUCCAUGAAGCUGAGACGAAACAAGAAGGAAGCUGUCAUUUGGGGGCUGCCAGCACUAACAUAGCUUUGUAACUGAAAGAUGGAAAAGGGGCCAGAGGUGUUAAGAAAGCCUGAUGUCAUCGUCCGAGCGGGAAGCCUCUUCAAGGUGAUUGUCAGGAAGGCAACAGGUUUUGUAAAGCAGAACUGACCUGAAACCCACUGCAUCCAGAUAACAUCGUAUUUUCUGGGUGUUGGUGUGAAUUCCUGGAGGCUGCAGCAAUAGUACAUGUCAACGCGUUCUCCCUGAUCCUGCAAGUAGUUCUGAGCUUC